rnacentral:lncRNA from 1 species
GCUGAGACCACAGAUCAUUAACAUUGUUAAUGUUCUCACUAAAACUGUUUGGAGAAUGUGACAAGUCCAAUUUGUUACUGACAGACCAGUUGGGAGUAUGUUUAAAAUGCAUUGCUCUUGCUAUUAUACUCCUUGAAUGGAUAUGUGAUUCCCGUCAGGUACACUUGCUAUUUUGCUAAAGACUAUCUGUUAUUUCAUCAAUCUUUUUAGCUGGCUCCAGAAGGGAAACCCUGCAUUGUGCUCAACCUCAUUUGUGCUUUUCAAGUCAGAAAGCCUGUGUUUAAAAUAUGAUGAUCACAGCUCAGGGAGGGAAAGAGACAGCCUUUCAUAGCAAAGACGGAGAACCCAGAGGCAUUUGACUCUUUGAAUAGAGGACACAUGCAAACACUUGGGCACUCAGCUUGCUAGGAAAUGGAGCAAUUGAGUCAGAAGCUGAAAUCAGAAUAGCCAUCUGUUCUGGCAGCAUACAAGUGACUCCUUUGCACGAAACCAGCAGCACAAGAUGUAUGUACAUACAGCAAGGAGCAGAUGAAAGAGAUGCUGCAUGCAGCCUCAGAGGUCCAUGGUGCAUCAUUUGGAACAGCUGCUGGUAUCUUUACCAGAGUAACUGUCCCUCCUGGGGAUCUGUCCUCCAUUCUUUUGGAAGCGUACGUACCAAAGCCCAUCUAACUGAGCAACAACCCACUCUUAAUUAGUGACUAUCACUGUUUCGCCUAAUUACCUAAACUAAUUGGAAGAGCCAUGAUACCCUGGGUAUAGACCUGUCUGCACCACUGAUUCUCUGAUAAGUUUAAUAAGUCACUUUGGCUAAUGUUUUCACAAGUGGCACUCCAAGGUGUGAUCUUAGAUUCUGAGCUGUCACAGCUCCUG